rnacentral:rRNA from 1 species
AGCAGCCGCGGUAAUUCCAGCUCCAAUAGCGUAUAUUAAAGUUGUUGCAGUUAAAAAGCUCGUAGUUGAAUUUCGGGAUUAGUACGUUGGUCGUGCCUUAGGUACGUACUGGUGUUACUGGUUCCUACCUUCUGACGAACCAUCAUGUCAUUAAUUUGGUGUGGCGGGGAAUCAGGACUGUUACUUUGAAAAAAUUAGAGUGUUUAAAGCAGGCUCGCGCUUGAAUACAUUAGCAUGGAAUAAUGAAAUAGGACGUUGAUCCUAUUUUGUUGGUUUCUAGGAUUGACGUAAUGAUUAAUAGGGAUAGUUGGGGGCAUUAGUAUUCAAUUGUCAGAGGUGAAAUUCUUGGAUUUAUUGAAGACUAACUACUGCGAAAGCAUUUGCCAAGGAUGUUUUCAUUAAUCAAGAACGAAAGUUAGGGGAUCGAAGACGAUCAGAUACCGUCGUAGUCUUAACCAUAAACUAUGCCGACUAGGGAUCGGAUGAUGUUAAUUUUUUAAUGACUCAUUCGGCGCCUUACG